GACGGAGGAUGCAAGUGUUAUCCGGAAUCACUGGGCGUAAAGCGUCUGUAGGUGGUCAAAUAAGUCAACUGUUAAAUCUUGAGGCUCAACCUCAAAAUCGCAGUCGAAACUAUUAGACUAGAGUAUAGUAGGGGGUAAAAGGGAAUUUCCAGUGGAGCGGUGAAAUGCGUAGAGAUUGGAAAGAACACCGAUGGCGAAGGCACUUUACUGGGCUAUUACUAACACUCAGAGACGAAAGCUAGGGUAGCAAAUGGGG
rnacentral:rRNA from 1 species